rnacentral:rRNA from 1 species
AUGAAAAUUGGUGACGAGGCUGGACAGUCGAGCACACCUAAUCAUCCGGUGUGGAAGAGGCUUUGGAACUUAAAGCUACCAGGGAAAGUUAAAAUCUUCGUCUGGCGGUGCCUGCACAACACCAUCCCCUUUAAGUGUACAUUAGCCAACAGACACAUACCUACAAGUGGGCAGUGUCCAGUUUGCCAGCAAUGGGCGGAGGACAUUAAACAUGCGCUCUUCACUUGCACCCGGGUUAGGUCGAUUUGGUCUGAGUUGGGCCUGAAAACGGUGAUAGAUGAGGUGAUCCCAAUCAACAGAUCAGGUGCGAGAGUUUUGGAGUCUCUCUUAUGCGAUGACAGGUUUCAGCGAAAGUAUGUGGAGGUAAUUGAUAUACCCGAAAUAAUAGCUUCCACCAGCUGGUACCUUUGGUGGCAGCGAAGGGAGCUGGCAAGAGGUGAACAAGUUCAGAACCCAAUCCGCACGGCAAUGGCCAUCCAGGCCUUGUCUCUGAAUUUCGUCCGAGCGGCUGGGAAACCGAAUCCAUUGCCUUGUCAGAAUGCUUGGAAUAAGCCACUGUCAGGGAUGCAGGUACUGAACGUAGAUGAUUCAUUUAUGGAAGAUGAUCACACGGGAUCCUGCGGAAUGGUGGUGAGAGAUCAUACCGGUGGAUUUAUAGCAGCAGCAGUAACUCAGAUGGCCCAUGUUGCGAAUGCAGUGGUAGCUGAGGCCGAGGCUAUGCACCAGGGUAUCAAGUUCUUACGCAGCUUUGGGUGUGAUAGCAUUGUGAUUCAAUCUGAUAUCUUGAUCGUCGUGGAAGCAUUGAGGCUGAAUGAAGGGUAUGCUUUGGUGGCAGCGCCAAUUCUUGAAGAUUGCCGUAAUUUACUUGCAGAUUUUGGGAACGUCGUUAUCGAACAUUGUAGUAGAGAGUCGAACAUGGUUGCUCAUGAGCUAGCUAGCUAUGGGAGGGGUAAUCCACCGACGGUGUGGUCGGAUACUCCCCUGUCAGGACCCCGACUCGAUGUCACAUCGAUCUAG